GUAGGGAAUAUUGGGCAAUGGAGGCAACUCUGACCCAGCCAUGCCGCGUGCAGGAUGACGGCCCUCUGGGUUGUAAACUGCUUUUAUACGGGAAGAAAAAAUACUACGUGUAGUAUACUGACGGUACCGUAAGAAUAAGGAUCGGCUAACUCCGUGCCAGCAGCCGCGGUAAUACGGAGGAUCCAAGCGUUGUCCGGAUUUAUUGGGUUUAAAGGGUGCGUAGGCGGAUCUUUAAGUCAUUGGGGAAAGCCUGCAGCUUAACUGUAGAAUGGCCAUUGAAACUGAAGAUCUUGAAUGUGGUUAAAGUAGGCGGAAUGUAUCAUGUAGCGGUGAAAUGCUUAGAUAUGAUACAGAACACCGAUAGCGAAGGCAGCUUGCUGAACCAUUAUUGACGCUGAGGCACGAAAGCGUGGGGAGCGAACAGGAUUAGAAACCCCAGUAGUCC
rnacentral:rRNA from 1 species